UACGUAGGUGGCAAGCGUUAUCCGGAAUUAUUGGGCGUAAAGAGCGCGCAGGUGGUUAAUUAAGUCUGAUGUGAAAGCCCACGGCUUAACCGUGGAGGGUCAUUGGAAACUGGUUGACUUGAGUGCAGAAGAGGGAAGUGGGAUUCCAUGUGUAGCGGUGAAAUGCGUAGAGAUAUGGAGGAACACCAGUGGCGAAGGCGGCUUCCUGGUCUGCAACUGACACUGAGGCGCGAAAGUGUGGGGAGCAAACAGG
rnacentral:rRNA from 1 species